rnacentral:tRNA from 1 species
CCUGAUGUCACAAAUGGUUAAGUGCUUGGCUGCUAACCAAAGGUUGGUGGUUUGAACCCACCCAACGGCU